CUGGGCGCCCUCCCUCGUUCCGCCCCUCCUCAGCGCAGCCCAGACCGACGGCACCAUGGUGCAAGCCUGGUACAUGGACGACUCCGCCGACGACCCGCGGCUGCCCCACCGCGCCCAGCCCGACCGCCCGGUGGGUCUGGAGCAGCUGCGCACGCUCGGAGUGCUCUACUGGAAGCUGGAUGCUGACAAGUAUGAGAAUGACCCAGAACUGGAAAAGAUCCGGAGAGAGCGAAAUUACUCCUGGAUGGAUGUCAUCACUAUAUGCAAAGAUAAACUUCCCAAUUACGAAGAGAAGAUUAAGAUGUUCUUCGAGGAACACCUGCACCUGGAUGAGGAAAUCCGCUACAUCCUGGAGGGCAGUGGGUACUUUGACGUCAGGGACAAGGAGGACAGGUGGAUCCGGAUUUCCAUGGAGAAGGGGGACAUGAUCACACUUCCUGCCGGCAUCUAUCACCGCUUCACACUGGAUGAGAAGAUACAGGGCAACAGUCACUCCUCCUAAGGCCCAGGAUGCACCUCUACGGAGACAGUAUACCUCAGCAAGCUCAAGUUCUGGAGAGCAAAGAAACGAACUCCACCACACCACUGAAGAAAACAUUCUCAGUUCAAUGUACAAACCAACUAUGCACACUGUUUCAGAGAAGUGUGAAGUCCAGGCAGCAUGUAGCAGGGGAGUCCCUGCAUAAAGAAGGUCCGAACAGGCCAGGAGGAGCUGAGAAGCUGUGAAGGUGAAGCAUGACUGGCAACAGAGAUUCAAGAUGUUGGAGAUGCCAGAGCCAUGAGACAUCUGCCAAGGAGAGCUGCAUACAGGGAGUGGUACCAAUCCAAGAGAGAGAGGUAUAUAGCUGGCAGCAAAGGUGGAGGGUUGAACCAUCUAAGCCCUUUGAAACUAAAGUCCCAGAUACUGGACUUGGAGCUAUAGGACUUGGCAUUUGCCCUGCUGGUUUUGGUCUUGCUUUGGCCCAGCAUUUCCCCACUAUGCCCCAUUCCUCCCUUUUGGAACGGGAAUGUGUAUUCAGUUUCAUUGCAUGUUGGAAGUAUGUAAUUUGUCUUUUUACUUUACUGGGGGGCUUAUAGUUAAAAGAGAUUGCUUUGAGUCUCAGAAGAAACUUUGGACUUUUAAACAGUGUUGAAACUCUUAAGGACUAUGGGGACUUUUAAGGUUGGACUAAAGGCAUUUUGAAUUAUGAUAUGGCUAUGAUCCUAUGGGGGCAGGGUGGAAUGUGUGGUUGAAUAAGGAAUGCCCCCCCCCCCAAACUCCCAAGUAUUUGAAUACUUGGUCCCAGUUAGUGGCACUGUUUUGGGAAGUUGAUAAGGUGUGGCUGGAGAAGCAUGUCACUGGAGAUGCCCAUUUCCAGUUUCCUUCUCUGCUUCCUGUGCCUGCUUGAAGAUAUGAGCACUUAGAGCUGCUCCAGUCACCUCUGCUGCCAUGCCUCCCCACCUUGAUGGACUCUUAUCCCUCGGAACCACAAAUAGAUGCUUUCUCCUAUAAGUUGGCACUUUAUUACAGUAACAGAAAAGAAACUAAUACAACUAUUAGACCAGAAAAUAAAGAAUGGUAGAUGGAACAUUCCCCAUUGUAAGAAGCUAUUGGAAAGACUGCAUAUAGUGUAGAACUCAAACAAUGUGGAGCACAGGGAACUUUCAGGCAGUGAGACAGUCCUGAAUGCCACUGUAAUGGUGGAUACCUGAGAAGCUCUUCCCAUGAUUUCCUUCACAGACAUGAACUUAAAGUUUACCAGUCAAACAUGAUUACUUCUAUUUUCACUAUCAUGUUCAGCAAUGCAUGGCUAAAUUUAUUCGGAUCAAGUAACAAUCUGUAACAAUUAUGGCUGUGUUUGAACACUUGGUCCCCAGCUUGUGUUUAGGAAUGUCCCCCACAUUUAGCAAAGCUGUUAAGCCUUUAGGAGUGAGGCCUAGCUGGUGGAGAUUGGCAACUGGAGGUGGGCCUUUGAGGGUUGUAAGCCAGCUCUGCUUCUUUCCCAGACUCUGCUUCCUGGUAUGGCCACCAUGUGAGGAACUCCAUCAUGUACUCUAAUAAUAGCCAUGGAGCUGCUCUGUCACAAGGAUUGUACCCUCUGAAACUGUGAACCCAAAUA